rnacentral:rRNA from 1 species
GAAUCAUACCUAAGCUUGACAUCCCGGGGACAUCUCCUUAUGCGGGGUGUUCCCUCCGGGGCCAUGGGGGCCAGGUGGUGCAUGGUUGUCGGCAGCGCGUGUCGUGAGAUGUUGGGUUAAGUCCCGCCACGAGCGCAACCCUUGUCUUUAGUUGCCAUCAUUAAGUUGGGCUCUCUAGAGAGACUGCCAGGGAUAACCUGGAGGAAGGUGGUGAUGACGUCAAAUCAUCAUGCCCCUUAUGCUUAGGGCUACACCCGUGCUACAAUGGGUAGUACAGAGGGUUGCCACGCCUUAAGGUGGAGCUAAUCCCUUAAAGCUACUCUCAGUUCUGAUUUUAGGCUGUAAUUCACCUACUUGAAGCUGUAGUUACUAGUAAUCGCAGAUCAGAAUGCUGCGGUGAAUGCGUUCCCGGGUCUUGUA